rnacentral:miRNA from 8 species
CGGGGUUUAAAAGGGUAUUUUU